rnacentral:rRNA from 1 species
UACAGAGGUCUCAAGCGUUGUUCGGAUUCAUUGGGCGUAAAGGGUGCGUAGGUGGCGCCGUAAGUCGGGUGUGAAAUUUCGGAGCUUAACUCCGAAACUGCAUUCGAUACUGCGGUGCUUGAGGACUGGAGAGGAGACUGGAAUUCAUGGUGUAGCAGUGAAAUGCGUAGAUAUUGUGAGGAACACUAGUGGCGAAGGCGAGACUCUGGACAGUUCCUGACGCUGAGGCACGAAGGCCAGGGGAGCAAACGGG